rnacentral:SRP_RNA from 1 species
GCUGGGUGUGGUGGUGCAUGCCUGCAGUCCCAGCUACUUGGGAGGCUGAGGCAGGAGAAUCACUUGAACCCAGGAGGUCGGGGGGUUGCAGUGAGCUGAGAUCAUGCCACUGCACUUCCAGCCUGGGCUACAGAGCGAGACUCUGUCUCAA